rnacentral:rRNA from 1 species
AUUGAACGCUGGCGGCAGGCUUAACACAUGCAAGUCGAGCGGAGAUGAGGUGCUUGCACCUUAUCUUAGCGGCGGACGGGUGAGUAAUGCUUAGGAAUCUGCCUAUUAGUGGGGGACAACAUUCCGAAAGGAAUGCUAAUACCGCAUACGUUCUACGGGAGAAAGCAGGGGAUCUUCGGACCUUGCGCUAAUAGAUGAGCCUAAGUCGGAUUAGCUAGUUGGUGGGGUAAAGGCCUACCAAGGCGAGGAUCUGUAGCGGGUCUGAGAGGAUGAUCCGCCACACUGGGAAUGAGACACGGACCAGACUCCUACGGGAGGCAGCAGUGGGGAAUAUUGGACAAUGGGGGAAACCCUGAUCCAGUCAUGCCGCGUGUGUGAAGAAGGCCUUAUGGUUGUAAAGCACUUUAAGCGAGGAGGGGGCUACCGAGACUAAUACUCUUGGAUAGUGGACGUUACUCGCAGAAUAAGCACCGGCUAACUCUGUGCCAGCAGCCGCGGUAA